rnacentral:tRNA from 1 species
GCAACGCUGGGGCAAGGUGUUGAGCCACUGGGCUAUGCCGGCCCGGGUGUUGGCGAUCCUGUCGCCGGCCUUGCG